rnacentral:rRNA from 1 species
UAAUACGUAGGGGGCAAGCGUUAUCCGGAUUUACUGGGUGUAAAGGGAGUGUAGGCGGUCUGGCAAGUCUGAUGUGAAACUCCGCAGCUCAACUGCGGAACUGCAUUGGAAACUGUCAGACUAGAGUGCAGGAGAGGAAAGUGGAAUUCCUAGCGUAGCGGUGAAAUGCGUUGAUAUCCUAUAGAACACCGGAGGCGAAGGCGGAUUCCUUGAACAUCACUGACGCUGAGGCGCGAAAGUCGGGGGAGCAAACAGGAUUAGAUACCCUGGUAGUCCCGACCUUAGACGGUGCACACUCGGGGUGGGGCCAUUUCACCGGCCCCGUCUCUCAGCUAACGCGUUAAGUGUGCCGCCUGGGGAGUACGGCCGCAAGGCUAAAACUCAAAGAAAUUGACGGGGGCCCGCACAAGCAGAGGAGCAUGUGGCUUAAUUCGAUGCAACGCGAAGAACCUUACCUGGAUUUGACAUGCAGCUGCACGGCCUAUGAAAGUAGGCCUCCUCCGAGGGUGCUGCACAGGUGCUGCAUGGCUGUCGUCAGUUCGUGCCGUGAGGUGUUUGGUUAAGUCCACCAACGAACGCAACCCUUGAAAUGUGCCAUCGGGUCAGGCCGGGAACUCGUCUCAGACUGCUGGUUCACGCCAGAAGAAGUGGGGAUGACG